rnacentral:tRNA from 1 species
GCCCGGGUGGUGGAAUUGGUAGACACGCUAGGUUCAGGGUCUAGUCUCCUAAGGAGGUGCGAGUUCAACUCUCGCCUCGGGCA